CUGUGAUGUAUCCUUUACAGAACACGGCCUCGCUCCAUUCUUUGCUCGAGAAGUAAUGUAUUGACCCAAGAGGAGACUACAGGCAGCAAGAAAUCAGAUCCCUGCAGCAAAGUGACGACAGUGUAAAAUCCUACAACAUCCAUGCGGGCACACUGGCCAGGGCCCCAACCCGGUUGCUGGCUACACACUGGUAGCGGCCUAACGUCACAUUGGACAGCGUGGCGAUGAACAAGCCUCCGGGCCCCAGCGCCACGCCGAGGUCUCCGUCCACAAGCUGCCGGCCGUUCAGGCGCCAACUGAUGGAGGCGGACGCGGGGCGGGCGGCGCAGCGCAGGCUCACGCUGCCUCCGAGCUUCUGCACCACUGAGACGGGCUCCUCGGUGAACUCCGGGACUUCAUCUGCGUGAUAAAUGGGGAGGAAUCAUUGUUGAGAGACAGUACAUCCAAAAUACAUUCGCCUUGAGAUUCAAACAUUAUUCUGCACCCAAAAUACUUUACAUUCCUCUAUUGCACCACUUUUGUUGUUGUUGUAAAACUCUCACAUUUCUACUUCCAUUCAAACCCUUUGGGGGACUAUGUUUUACAUGCUCAAAAUUCCCACUUUUCCAUUAAUUUUUUUUUUAAUUAAAAAAAUCCAACUGAACUGAAUGGAGAAGUUUCCCAAAUAUAACUCUCUCCGUCCAAAACUCAUUCCAACUUCAAAAUGUUCACCACAUUUUUGACAUAGUGCAAAGUAUUUUUCAAAUUCCCCAGUAUUUCAUUUUCACCAUGAUGAAAUUCCAAAAUUAAAUGCUGAAUUUGUUUUACAAUUUUCAUUCCUAAUUCUGGAGAGAUUUAAACCAUUUCAACAUCAACAUAUUCAGUUAAUUUAGGAUAUCUGGGCAACUAUUUUUAUUUUUUUUUACCUUCCCAAAAAUUCAUUUUCCAUGACAAAAUUAAUGUAGACAUUUUACACGUUUUUCGUCAUCCUUCCACAUUUCUCAAACAAUUCAAACCAUUCCAAUGUCAAAAUAUUCAUCUUAUUCGGAACAUCUGGGAAACUACUUUCCACAUUUCCAAAAUUCCCACAAUUCCACAUUUUUAUUUUUUUCAUGAAAAAAUUUCAACUCGAUGGCGAGAUUGUCCAAAUUUAACUCAUCCUUCCACAUUUCUGUACUUAUUAUUAUUCAAACCAUUCCAAUUCAAAUUGAAAUGUUCCCACUUUUUUUUUUAUAUUUGACAUUUUCCAUGACAAAAUUCCCAAAUUAAUAGGGACAUUUUACAAAGGUUACCUAAUUCGUCCUCAUUCCUCAACUGAUUCAAAUUUUGCUAACUUCAAACAGUUCAGAUGAUUUAGGACUAAUGAACUAUUUUGCACAUCCUCCAAAUCCCACUUUUUUAGUAUUUCACAUUUUUCAAGUCAAAAUUCCCAAAUUUACAAUUUACAACACAUUUCUCGACCAAUUCAAUACAAU